ensembl:miRNA cja-mir-32 cja-mir-32
GCUUGCUCUGGUGGAGAUAUUGCACAUUACUAAGUUGCAUGUUGUCACGGCCUCAAUGCAAUUUAGUGUGUGUGAUAUUUUCACAUGAGUGCAUGC